UGAGUCCAAUGGGUCCGAAUGAGGGU
rnacentral:sRNA from 1 species